CACGAAGUUAGCCGGUGCUUAUUCUUCCGGUACCGUCAGGACCCCCGGGUAUUAACCGAGAGCUUUUCUUUCCGGACAAAAGUGCUUUACAACCCGAAGGCCUUCUUCACACACGCGGCAUGGCUGGAUCAGGCUUGCGCCCAUUGUCCAAUAUUCCCCACUGCUGCCUCCCGUAGGAGUCUGGACCGUGUCUCAGUUCCAGUGUGGCUGAUCAUCCUCUCAGACCAGCUACGGAUCGUCGCCUUGGUGGGCCUUUACCCCGCCAACUAGCUAAUCCGACAUGGGCUCAUCCAGUCGCGCGACGCCUUGCGGUCCGCCGCUUUCACCUCUCGGUCGUAUGCGGUAUUAGCGUAAGUUUCCCUACGUUAUCCCCCACGACAGGGUAGAUUCCCAUGUAUUCCUCACCCGUCCGCCACUCGCCACCCAGGGAGCAAGCUCCCCUGUGCUGCCGUUCGACUUGCAUGUGUUAGGCCUGCCGCCAGCGUUCACUCUGAGCCAGGAUCAAACUCU
rnacentral:rRNA from 1 species